GUCUAUGUGGUAUAGUGGUUUGAAUGCUGGACUGGGACUUUAAGAGACUGGGUUCAAAUCCCUGCUCAGCCA